UAGGUACCAGAGCAAGGAACUGCGCUUUUAAUCUUGGUUUAUAAAAGAAGAAGAGAAUAGAGAAACAAUUACACCAAAAACACGUUUUUGACAGUCAACAUACGAUAAGAACUUUUUCUUUUCAAAACAGCCAAUUAUAAGACAUGAUGAUAACACUCAAACUCAACGCGACGCACUCACCAGGAGUUCUUUCGACACAUAACUGGACAUCUGUCUUAAAUGAACAAAACUGAGAGUUAAAAAUAUUAAGCACAUUAAUUGUUGUCAAAUAUGUACCUACCUAUAUAAAAAUGAUAUGGACAAAAGUGUAACGCUCCAAUAAUAUAAGUUUGUAACUAAUACUUUAAUUGUACAAUUUAACAAAAUUAUAUUCGUUCUUUAUUAAAAAGAGAUUAAAAAUAAUCAAAUUCAAA